rnacentral:rRNA from 1 species
UACAGAGGUCUCAACCGUUGUUCGGAUUCAUUGGGCGUAAAGGGUGCGUAGGCGGUCGCGCAAGUCGGAUGUGAAAUCUCAGGGCUCAACCCUGAAACUGCAUUCGAUACUGCGUGGCUAGAGUGCUGGAGAGGAGACUGGAAUUUACGGUGUAGCGGUGAAAUGCGUAGAUAUCUGAAGGAACAUCAGUGGCGAAAGCGACUUCCUGGACCAAUACUGACGCUCAUGUGCGAAAGCGUGGGGAGCAAACAGG